rnacentral:lncRNA from 1 species
CGUUUGAGGAACCACUUGCAUCAUGUUGUAUUUAGGACAUAGUUAAGAUAUUUCUUAAGUAUCCAACUCUGGAGAAGUUCUGUAUUAAACUAAGUUUAUACAGAGACAACAACAACAAUUAUAAAAAUCACAAAAAUAGGGAUUAUUUCUGUUUUUAUAAUAAUUUAUUCUGUAGCUGAUUGCUGUACUCCGGCUCAUUUCAUUACACUUUUAACAUCCCCAUUAUGUAAGCUCAGCCCUCUUACACUGAUGGGAAAUUCAUAUCUGAGGAUUAGUUAUUGGUCAUGAUAAAAGGGCUUUAGCAGAUACAAAACUUUCUAAAAAUCCACAUUAUGCAGUGUUGUUGCAUGUGCAAAUCAGGGGUAGGAGCUCAGGAUGCUGCCUUAAGUUUCUGUUUGAGUUUACAGAAUCACAGCAGUGUCACGUUUAACAAUCUGGUCCCCUUAUUGAACAUUUCUCAAAAUUGAAAGAAGUAAUGAAAACAAAUAACACAAGCUCUGUUGUAUGAGGAUGUGCCUGCAGGAUUAGUUGUUUUCUGACAUGAAUUACAAAGAUGUAAUCAGUGUUGACAUGAUGGAUCUGUUUUUCUGAAGCUUUCAGCCUAAUAAGGAGAUAAUUUGUGAGUGAUGUUAUGCUUUGUUUUGCCUUCUCAGAUCUGGUGCACUGCCUAGAUUAGAUCUCUGUGGACCAGCUUCCUGUAUUUCCUGUGUGCCUGGUAGGUGUGCUUAACCAUAUGUCUGUGUUUAUGUGUGGAAGUGUACAUGUGUGUAUCGAUAUUUCAUCUAAAAUGUGAUUUAUGGCAAGUGCAAAGCCUUUCUAUCUCAGACGUGCUGAUGUUUGAAUAAAAAUGUGCGUGUGUGUGUGGCUGUGUGCUGAUGUUUGAAUAUUAAUGUGCAUGUUUGUGUGUACGUGAAUGUGUGUGUGUGUGUGUGUGUGUGUGUGUGUGUGUGUGUGUGUGUGUGUGUGUGUGUGUGUGUACGUGAAUUUGUGUGCGUGUGUGCGUGCGUGUGUGUGUUUGGUGGGAAGGGGGUGGGGUGGCUAACAUUGUCAACGUCUCUCAUUGGCUGAAACAUUUUCUCUGGCAACUAGAAAACGUGAUCCUGCCUGCAGAGGCACUGCAGUGUAUGCUGCAGCGAGAGAGAGCAGCGCGAGAGAUAAAGAGAGGGAGUGUGUGUGAGAAAAGAGAGAGUGGGAAAGAGAGAAAGAGAGAGAGAGAGAGGAGGGGGUGGGCAGACAAAACAAGCUACAUGCAUAAGGAGGGAGCCAGAGGCACAGAGACAGAGAGCGAGUGAGUGUGUGAGUGUGCAUGUAUGUGUGAAAACACUGCGCAUGUGUGAUUGUGAGGCGCACUGACUGGAACAGACGGAGAAGGAGAAAGAGGAGUGAUGAUCAGCAGCUGAGACAGGAGGAGAGAUAACAGCAGAGAGGAGGGCAAAAAGGAGACAAGAGGCUUUACCUGAAGACCAGACCAGGCAAAAGGAAGGAAGACACACAGAGACACACAGUGUUGAAGCUCAGAGCACUGCAUUCAAUAAGCUGAAUACACCGUGAGGUCUGGGAAGAGUGAUGGAGAGAGAGAGACCGGAGAGAGACGCUCACCCACAGCUUGAGAGAGACGGAACACAUCUGGGAGAGUGAAGGACGGAGGUACCAGUAAGGAGAGAGAAGGGAGAGGAACAGGAGAUGCUACGCUUAAAGGAAACAGCCCGAGACAUGACGCAUCCACCUUACAACAGCUUCCUCCAUCUUACAUCUCCUCAGCGUUUCCCUCCCGUUGCUGCUUCAUGUCGCUCGUCUUGCUAAGAGACCAAUGGAAAGGAGAGAGCAUCCUCCCCAUCGUGACACAUCCCUGGAACAAAGAAACUGAGCGGCUCAGUUUAACUUCACAGAGCGGCAUCAACGACAUUGACAGCAACAACUGGAACGGGAACGAGGGGGGAGAGAAAGGACUGGAACAAGACGAGUGCGCAGGCAGACAGGUGAGGAUGAGAAAAGACUAUGCAACCAUUUCACAGAGAUGAUUCAUUUGUGUGUUUAUAUUUUCUGUGGCUCUUUAAACAUCCGAUUUUAAUCCCUGUCAUUAUGUCGGCAUAAAAGAGACAGAGGUAAUCUAUCGCUUUGUUAUGUUGAGCAGGGGUUUUCAUGGCUGUUGCAUCAUGGCCGUCCAUUUUGCAAACACAUGAAUGGGGACACACAUACACACACACAUAUGGCACACCUGCACAUCUGCUUAUCUGUGUCACUCACAAAUAGUGGUAAGAAUCUGUGAAUAGACCAUGAUGGCAGGAAGAUGGUAUCUCGGGGUUGUCAUGUCUUCAGCAUUUAUGACAUUUCACCUGCCUCUGCACAGACAGACGGUGCGGGGCAGGAGGAAGAGGAGGAUGGGUGGGGGUUAUAGGGACAGGGCAAGAACUGCCUGUUCUGUAGCUGUCAGCAGCACUAAGGCAUCUCCAUAUUGGCCAUACAUUGGCGCUGCAGUGAGAGUGCUGGGUACACCAUGCUGCGAUUGCAUAACUGCUCCUCACCCCUCCCUCAUGCUAAAGCUGCUCCAUCUCACACGGUCCAAAUAUUUUGGCCACCUCACCCUGUAUCCCACAGACGAUGCCCGCUUUUGAAUGUGAACUCAAAUGACAUCAAUGAUGCUCUCCACCUUAAAAGCAUCAGCUCAGCCGACCCCCUUAAAAGGGAAAAAUCAAUUCUCCUCACUGAUCAAACCCGUGUUUUUGUUGAAGAGCUGGGAAUUUGCCGGACCUUUCCCUCAUAAAUCUUCCACGGGCUCUGUGUCAGGCGGAGCGAUGAUGGUUUAUGCUUUUAUUCCUCUGCCUGCAUGAGAGCAGCUCUGCCAUGUUGCUGUGAGAACUACACAGACGAGAACAAAGAGCACUUGGCUGUAAUGAAUUGCAAGGCAAAAUGGCCGAUGUGUGCCAUGAAUGACAGCAGGCUGAAUUAUUAAAAACAACACAUACCCGCAUACUCACUGAGCACUUUCUGCCCAUGCUCGAACACAAACAUGAAACAGUGGCCUAUUCAUGUAACCACAGCUUGAUGAAUUAACCAUAAACAUUACAAUUAGCCUAACAUCAUCAUAUUAUUAUAGAUCUGAGCCAUGCUAAAAAAUAUGUAGAUGUUUGAAUUUUAAUCUGUUUGUCUGCUGUCAACACGCAUGAAGAGGGAAAAUGAACGUUUUCCCGUUGGAAUAAACAGAAAAAAGAAGAAUCAAACGCAUUUACAAGCCUUGUAUUCAAAGUUUGAUACAUUCAGGCUGUAACAAACAAAGCAUGACACAGAGUUGUAUCUGUCAUCAGCAUACAGCAUGUCAAAUUGUACAAUAUGCGCCACAUGCUAAUCCUCCUGUUUUUGAAUCUUUCAUAUCAUUUCUCUAAAUCACUGUCCUGAGAGGAGCUGCAGCCGGUGAACAUACAGUAAAUCUGGGGAUUUGUCCUCAGAUCACGCAAAGGUCAUAACGUGUUAUGUAAUCAAAAUACAGCAUAAUAUCUCACACAGGUCUGAGGAGAGAUGAGGCGAUGCGUUUUACCAGCCGAAGCAUGAAUGUGGAUACACAUCUCAACAUAGCUGGCAUACCUGACAUACUGUCGGUAUGUGGUAUAGGGGCACAAAGACCGGACCUUCUGUUCAGUGCAGACCGACAGAAUGCUCAGAUAGAACGAAAGAUAGGUGGACAGAAAGAGAGAGACAGGUUUCCAUUGAGAGGAAAGAGGGAGACAGGAGGAGAGACGGACUGAUGCAGGGUUUCUAUGACUCAUGCAGAACAUGGUGCCCUUCCUACUCUAGAUCUACACAGGUGGGAUCAAUCCGGCAUGAUCAUGGGACCUGAAACAUAACAGAGCGUGUGUGUGUGUGAAAAAGGCAAAGGAAAUAGUGGGAGAGUGUGUGAGAGGAAAGGAAUUUUUCUCUCUCUCUUCAGGUGUGUGUGCGUGUUUAGUCAGUCAGAGAUAAAUCCAGAAUGACAGAUAGCUGACACAUUUAGAAAUACUCCUGUUUGUUAUCUGUUUGUUUGUGCGUCCGCUGGAAUGUUCAGGGUGGUGCCGGGUACAUGAUGGGGAGUCGUCCGAGGGUGAGAAUGUUCUAGAUGUGUGAGUGUGUGUGUGUGACUUUAAACUGUGUGUGUGUGUUUAAUGGUAUGAGGAAUUUGCUGCUGAGACAGACUCCUCUGACAUCCCUGUGGUCAGCUUCCCUCAUCCUCCUCUUGCUUGUGAUGACGAGGUCAAAUGCCUGCCAUGAUUUCAUUAGUGUUAUAAUUCCUCUGCAGGGAGAAGAGCUAGAGCUAUGUAUGGACACAGACACGCACGCACACACACACAUACAUGCAUAUACACAUUCACAAAUACACACACACGCUCAAUGUCAGGACUGUGCAAGAGCUGCAGCACUGUGUUAAUAUGGUGGCUGGGUCGGGGAUGAGCUCCUUACGUAACUGGGGAGGGCUCCGUCGAUUAGGAGGAGGCUGCACCAAAGCUGGCCCGUCAGCAGACAGCCUGCAUCACUUAUCAGCCCUUUUCAUAGUCCAGGCUGUCACCAAAUUAGAGGGUAAUUUUAGCUGCUUUGUCCUUCUCAGUCUGAAAGGCUCCUCAAACAGCCCAGCUACUUUAUCAGCUUGACCUCAGCCACAGUGAGGCAGACAUGUUUUCUAAAACUCUUGAAGCCUCCAAGAUGUUUCCAGAGAUUUAUCUGUGAGAACCGGUUGUUUGACUUUUCUGCAAUAGCACAAAUGAUAACAGAUCGGUGAGGCCAACCAAGGUCUGGUAAUGAUAAAUGAGCUGAUAGUCAUACAUUAUGUGAUUUUUUUUGUUUUUUCAGAUCUCUUAAAUGUGUUUGAGCUCUGGAGGCGAGACCUUUACUUUUAAAUACCCCUAAAUCUUAGACACUGCCUUUCCUCAAACUUAAUUUAUCUGUUUUUUACUUCAACAGUAAGUAUCAGCAAGUUUGACAGACAAGCUCUACUUGAAACCAUAAGAUAGUAGAGUUACAAUUAUACUCAAGGUGUUGCACUUAGUGCUAUACAGUCAUUCCAAGUUGCUCAUCUUUCUUUUAAGUAAACGGUGGCCCAAAAAGGACAAAAAGCAAGAUCCUUUCGCUAUCAAAACCUUUCCUCAUUUCCUCAUUACCAUUAC